UGAGGUCAAAGAAAGCCAUGUAAAAAGGUUUAUGUUAGUCCUGGCAUUUUUCCUGCAUCUGACAAUCAGUGAAGAUCAUGUUAGUUGUACCUCUUGAUGCCCUAAACCCACACACUGAGAUUCUGGGAGAAGCUCUUCAGCAAGUGGAAGGAGAUGGUUCAGGAGGGUUCUCACAAUGAUCUUUCCUUUGAUGGGCAGCAAGGUGAUCCCUCUAAUUUCCACAGUGACUGGGUAACCUCUGGCUGAUUGCAUGCCCCCAUGGCAGCAACAACUCAUUUGAAUGUCUUCCCUAAUAACUUCUGAUAGUACUUUCUGUUCCUAACAUGGUGACCACAGGUAAUGGGGAAUUGGAGUUUGAUUCCGGGAAAUGGCUACCACAACCAAAGAAAGCAGUAGGUGGGCAAAUUACCCAUUCCGAACCUGGGGCGGUAGUGAUGAAAAAUAACAAUAGAGAAUUCUUUUGAGACCUUGUAACUGGAAUGAGUACACUUCAAGUCCUCUAUCAAGGAUUUAUUGGAGGGGAAGUCUGGUGCCAGCAGCUGCAAUAAAAUUCCUAACCCAAUA
rnacentral:ncRNA from 1 species